CUUCCUCGGCCUGCUGCGGCGCAAUGAAGUGAAUAUGCGUGUCUAUCCCGCCGGCAGUGAGGAUCUUGCCCUCACCCGCGAUGACAUCGGUGGCGGGACCGACGACUAUAUCGACGCCCGGCUGGAUAUCGGGAUUUCCGGCCUUGCCGAUCCCCGAAAUACGGCCAUUCUUGAUGCCGACAUCGGCUUUGAUGAUGCCCCAAUAGUCGAGGAUGAUGACAUUGGUGAUGACGAGAUCGGCUGUUUCGGCCGCAGGUCUCUGUCCCUGCCCCAUCCCAUCGCGGAU
rnacentral:sRNA from 2 species